UCUAAAAUGGCAGAAUUAAUGCAAAGGAUUUAAACCCCUUAAAUAAAGUAAAAUCUUUUUUUAGAA
rnacentral:tRNA from 1 species